UUUCUGGGCUUGGGCAACCUGAAAACUCCUCACAUACUGUAAGACCCCCUUUUGGGGACCCCCACUCUAGUCUCGGGAGUGAGAGAGCACCCAAAGAAACACUAGAAUCC
rnacentral:pre_miRNA from 7 species